rnacentral:rRNA from 1 species
CCUACGGGAGGCAGCAGUGGGGAAUAUUGCGCAAUGGGCGAAAGCCUGACGCAGCGACGCCGCGUGAGGGAUGAAGGUCUUCGGAUCGUAAACCUCUGUUAGCAGGGAAGAACGGUCACUGUGCUAAUCAGCAGUGAAUUGACGUUACCUGCAAAGGAAGCACCGGCGAACUCCGUGCCAGCAGCCGCGGUAAUACGGAGGGUGCGAGCGUUAAUCGGAAUUACUGGGCGUAAAGCGCUCGUAGGCGGUAUGUCAAGUCAAGGGUGAAAUCCCCGCGCUCAACGUGGGAACUGCCUUUGAAACUGGCAAACUGGAGAGUGUGAGAGGAUAGUGGAAUUCCAGGUGUAGGGGUGAAAUGCGUAGAUAUCUGGAAGAACAUCAGUGGCGAAGGCGACUAUCUGGCACAUAACUGACGCUGAGGAGCGAAAGCGUGGGUAGCAAACAGGAUUAGAUACCCUAGUAGUC